rnacentral:lncRNA from 1 species
AGAAAAUACAUUGGGUGUAGGAAAAGAUAGCAUAUGAUUAAGAAAUAAUAUCAUCUUGAAAAUGCAGCUAUGCAAGAUAGAAUUUUAUGGCUACUUAUAUAUGUGGCAUCGUUUGUAGAAAAACUUUUAUAGUGCUCACUUCAGCAGUAUAUAUACUAAAAUUGGAACAAUAUAGAGAAGAUUAGCACGUCCCCUGUGCAAGGAUGAUGCUAAAUUCACGAAACAUUCCAUAUUUUUAGGACCUCUUCAAGAAGAACUACAAACCACUGCUCAAAAAAUUGGAGAUGACACAAACAAAUGGGAAAACAUUCCAUUCUCAUGCAUAGGAAGAACCGACAUCGUGAAAAUGGCAAUAUACAGCCCAAAGCAAUUUAUAGAUUCCAUGCUAUUCUCAUUAAACUACCAUUGACAUUCUUCGCAGAAUUAGAAAAAGAAAACUAUUUUAAAAUUCAUAUGGAACCAAAAAAGAGCUUGUAUAGCCACCAAGACAAUCCUAAGCAAAAAAAAAAAAAAAAAAAAGCCAUAGGCAUCACACUUCCUGACUUCAAACUAUACUAUAAGGCUACAGUAACUAAAACCUAAAACAGCAUGGCAUGGGUACAGAAACAGGCACAUAGACCAAUGGAACAGAAUAGAGGACCCAGAAAUAAGACCACACACCUACAACCAUCAGAUCUUCAACAAACCUGACAAAAACAAGCAAUAGGGAAAGGAUUCCUUGUUUAAUAAAUGAUGCUGGGAGAACUAACUAGUCAUAUGCAGAAAUUAAAACCAGACCACUUACUUACACCAUAUACAAAAAUCAACUCAAGAUGGAUUAAAGACUUAAAUGUAAAACCCAAAACUAUUAAAACCCUAGGAGAAAAAUCUAGGCAAUACCGUUCAGGACAUAGGCACAGGCAAAAAUUUCAUGACAAAAAUGCCAAAAGCAAUUGCAACAAAAGCAAAAAUGAGCAAAGUGGAUCUUAUUAAACCAAAGAGCUUCUGCACAGGAAAAGAAACAAUCAUCAGAGUGAAUAGAAAACCUACCAUAUGGGAGAAAAUUUUUGCCAUCUAUCCAUCUGACAAAGGUCUAAGAUCCAGCAUCUACAAGGAACUUAAACAAAUGUACAAAAAAAAAAACAUUAAAACAUUGGCAAAGGACAUGAAUAGACACUUAUCAAAAGAAGACAUACAUGCAGCCAACAAACAUGAAAAAAAGUUCAACGUCACUGAUCAUUAGAGAAAUCCAAAUCAAAACCACAAUGAGCUACCAUCUCACAUCAUUCAGAAUGGCUAUUAUCAAAAAGUCAAAAAACAACAGAUGCUGACAAGGUUGUGGAGCCAAAGCAACACUUUCAUACUGUUGGUGGGAGUGUAAAUUAGUUCAGCCAUUGUGGAAGACACUAUGGCAAUUCCUCAAAGACCUAGAGGCAGAAAAAAACAUUUGACCCAACAAUCCCAUUACUGGAUAUAUACCCAAAGGAAUAGAAAUUAUUCUAUUAUAAAGAUACAUUAACACGUAUGUUCACUGCAGCACUAUUCACAAUAGCGAAGACAUGGAAUCAACCUAAAUGCCCAUCAACGAUAGACCGAAUAAAGAAAAUGUGGUGCAUAUGCACCAUGGAAU